AUUAGGUUUUGGGGCUAGGGUUAGGUUUAAGGUUUUUGGCGUUAGGGUUAAAAUAACUGUCCAAUAUUUUUUAAGGAACAUGUUUCAGACCUUUGGGAGUUAGUUAGACAAAAAAAAAAGAAAAAGAAAAAAAAAUAUUUGGGGUGUUCGGGUUUCCUGAAGGUAAUAACCGGGUAUUAGGUUAUGGGGCUAGGGUAAGGUUUAAGGUUUUUGGCGUUAGAGUUAAAAUCAGUGUCCAAAACCUUUUAAGGAACAUGUUUAAGACCUUUUGGAGUUGGUUGCACCCAAAAAAAAAUGUAAAAUGAAAAAAAAAAUAUGUGGGGUGUUCGGGCUUCCUGAAGGUAAUACCCGGGUAUUAGGUUUUGGGGCUAGGGUAAGGUUUAAGGUUUUUGGUGUUAGGGUUAAAAUCACUGUCCAAAACCUUUGUAGGAACUCUUUUCCAACCUUUUGGAGUUAGUUAGACCAAAAAAAAAAAAAAAUGAAAAAAAUAUAUUUGGGGUCUUCGGGCUUCCUGAAGGAAAUACUCAGGUAUUAGGUUAUGGGGCUAGGGUAAGGUUUAAGGUUUUUGGCGUUAGGGUUAAAAUCAAUGUCCAAAACCUUUGUAGGAACUCUUUUCCAACCUUUGAGAGCAAGUUAGACCAAAACAAAAAGAAAAAUAAAAAAUAUAUAUUUGGGGUGUUCGGGCUUCCUGAAGGUAAUACCCGGGUAUUAGGUUAUGGGGCUAGGGUAAGGUUUAAGGUUUUUCAGCGUGAGGGUAAAAAUCACUGUCCAAAACCUUUGUAGGAACUCUUUUCCAACCUUUGGGAAUUAGUUAGACAAAAAAAUUAAGAUAAAUGAAAAAAAAAUUUUUGGGGUGUUCGGGCUUCCUGAAGGUAAUACCCGGGUAUUAGGUUUUUGGGCUAGGGUAAGGUUUAAGGUUUUUGGUGUUAGGGUUAAAAUAACUGUCCAAAACCUUUGUAGGAACUCUUUUCCAACCUUUUGGAGUUAGUUAGACCAAAAAGAAAAAAAAAAGAAAAAAAUAUAUUUGGGGUCUUCGGGCUUCCUGAAGGAAAUACCCAGGUAUUAGGUUUUGGGGUUAGGGUAAGGUUUAAGGUUUUUGGCGUUAGGGUUAAAAUCACUGUCCAAAACCUUUUUAGGAACAUGUUUCAGACCUUUUGGAGUUGGUAACACCAAAAAAAAAUGUAAAAUAAAAAAAAAUAUUUGGGGUGUUCAAGCUUGCUGAAGGUAAUACCAAGGUAUUAGGUUAUGGGGCUAUAGUAAGGUUUAAGGUUUUUGGCGUUAGGGUUAAAAUCACUGUCCAAAACCUUUGUAGGAACUAUUUUCCAACCUUUUGGAGUUAGUUAGACCAAAAAAAAACGAAAAAUGAAAAAAAAUAUUUGGGGUGUUCGGGCUUCCUGAAGGUAAUACCAAGGUAUUAGGUUAUGGGGCUAGGGUAAGGUUUAAGGUUUUUGGCGUUAGGGUUAAAAUCACUGUCCAAAACCUUUUUAGGAACAUGUUUCAGACCUUUUGGAGUUGGUUACACCAAAAAAAAUGUAAAAUGAAAAAGAAUUUUUUUUGGGUGUUCGGGCUUCCUGAAGGUAAUACUAGGUUUCUGGGCUAGGGUAAUGUUUUAGGUUUUUGGCGUUAAGGUUAAAAUCAAUGUCCAAAACCUUUGUAGGAACUCUUUUCCAACCUUUGAGAGCAAGUUAGACCAAAACAAAAAGAAAAAUAAAAAAUAUAUAUUUGGGGUGUUCGGGCUUCCUGAAGGUAAUACCCGGGUAUUAGGUUAUGGGGCUAGGGUAAGGUUUAAGGUUUUUUGGCGUGAGGGUAAAAAUCACUGUCCAAAACCUUUGUAGGAACUCUUUUCCAACAUUUGGGAAUAAGUUAGACAAAAAAAAUAAGAUAAAUGAAAAAAAACAUAUUUGGG
rnacentral:lncRNA from 1 species